rnacentral:rRNA from 1 species
GACGAACGCUGGCGGCGUGCUUAACACAUGCAAGUCGAACGGAAAGGCCCUGCUUGCCGGGUGCUCGAGUGGCGAACGGGUGAGUAACACGUGGGUGAUCUGCCCCUUACUUUGGGAUAAGCCUGGGAAACUGGGUCUAAUACUGGAUAGGACCAUGCUGUAGGUGGUGUGGUGGAAAGAUUAGUUUCGGUAAGGGAUGAGCUCGCGGCCUAUCAGCUUGUUGGUGGGGUAAUGGCCUACCAAGGCGUCGACGGGUAGCCGGCCUGAGAGGGUGGACGGCCACAUUGGGACUGAGAUACGGCCCAGACUCCUACGGGAGGCAGCAGUGGGGAAUAUUGCACAAUGGGCGCAAGCCUGAUGCAGCGACGCCGCGUGGGGGAUGACGGCCUUCGGGUUGUAAACUCCUUUCAGCCAUGACGAAGCCCUUGUGGUGACGGUAGUGGUAGAAGAAGCACCGGCUAACUACGUG